rnacentral:rRNA from 1 species
GACGAACGCUGGCGGCGUGCUUAACACAUGCAAGUCGAACGGAAAGGCCCUGCUUUUGCGGGGUGCUCGAGUGGCGAACGGGUGAGUAACACGUGAGUAACCUGCCCUUGACUUUGGGAUAACUUCAGGAAACUGGGGCUAAUACCGGAUAGGAGCUCCUGCUGCAUGGUGGGGGUUGGAAAGUUUCGGCGGUUGGGGCUGGACUCGCGGCUUAUCAGCUUGUUGGUGGGGUAGUGGCUGACCAAGGCUUUGACGGGUAGCCGGCCUGAGAGGGUGACCGGCGUCCUUGGUCCUGCGGUACGGCCCAGUCUCCUACGGUAGGCAGCAGUCGGGAAUAUUGCACAGUGGGCGGACGCCUGAUGCAGCAACGCCGCGUGCGUGAUGACGGCCUUCGGGUUGUAAACCGCUUUCGCCUGUGACGAAGCGUGAGUGACGGUAAUGGGUAAAGAAGCACCGGCUAACUACGUG